rnacentral:lncRNA from 1 species
AAUGGUUUGAGUAUAUUGUAGGUCUGUAUAGUUGUAUUUUAGUCUUGUUUUGAUGUUUAUGAUAAGGGUUUUUUGGGGGUUUUGAUGAUAUUGCGUUGGGUAUUUUGAAAUUUGAAGAUUACACGUUUCUUGCACUUGAAUAUGAUCGGUUUAAGCUUCAUAAGAAACGAUCGCGAGACAUUACGCUAAUGCGAUUGGAACUGUUUUUGAUAAUAUCAAAGGAGUUAUAGAUUGAAAGUGGGUGUUCUCUGGGAAUCGAAGUAAUUACUUUGUACAAAAAUUAGGUGGUGUGUGGACUUUGGAUGUGCAUUUUCAAAAUUGGGUAUUCAGUUAAUCAUGUUUAAAUAAUUAGUCGAUCUGAAUCUGAAUCGAUUAACAUGUUAAUCACUCCAAACUGAAGUUUUUAUAAUCCAAUCCAAAUAACCCCCUUAAAUGAACUAAUUUUUUUGUUAUACUUUGAUUAGUGUUUGAUUAGGUUUUUUUAUGUAUCUGCAAUUGGGUAUUUUUCAGAAUGAGAAGUUUCUUGAAUAAAACUUUACUUUAAAUGAAGUUUUUUGAGGGAUCAAAGUUUAUUUUCGUUCAAGAAAUUUGUAUAAAAGAGUGAUGAGUGAUGUUUAAUCUUCUUUAUGAUCAAUGAAUCUUAUGGCAUUCUUGUCAUCUUUUUUUUUCGUUUAUGCUAAAUGCAAGAUAUAGCAAUGUACCUUCCAAAUUCUUAUAUCAUAGCAAUGUGCAUUACUAUAUCUUGUAUUUAGCCAUUUUCUUUUCAAAUUUUUUUGAAAUAAAUCUUAGAAAAGUGUUUAUUAUUGAUUUAGGUUUGGUGUUAUGCUUUAAGCUCUUUAUAUGGCCUACCCUGGUGUCCUAAAAUCAAUUUAUGCGGUUGUUGUUUGGAUUGCUUCAUAUGCUCUUGUUGCAAUUAUUGGAUUAUUUCAAGUCUCGACUUUUAUUGGUUCAUCUAUUUUCAAUCGAUAAAGUACUUUGAAGGGGUAGAAGGGGCAAAAGGGCAAUAAAAAGAUCAAGGAAUAAUGAAAAAGGUGAUUUUUUUUUUCUUUAUGAAACAUUUUCCUUUUGAUCUUUUUGUGAUUUUGAGUGAAUUUGAUUGUGUAUCAGGUGGAUGUAUAUGGCAUGGUUUUACACAAAUGGACAUUGAAGAGAAAAGAUUUAGACCAAAAGGAUUUGUUGAGAGUGUUUUUUGUUCUUUUGGUAUGAGUUUUGGUGUGUGAGAGAUGUGUCGUAUGUGGGAUUCACUUUUUUUCAAGGAUCUUUUGAGGAAUUUAUUCAUUGAGUUUUGAUUUGGUUCAAGUGGUUUUAAAAACCUAGUCAUUGUUGGCUUGAACAAAGUGUUUUGUCUAGACAUAAUAUAUAUAAUAAAAGAUGAUAUUCUUGACAGUUUCUAUUUGUGCGUUGUAGUUUUUAGAAGGCAUUGACUAUGAUUUGAAAACCUAGGGUCUAUAAGAUGCAAUUGAUUAAGAUGAUUAUGUUGACUUAAAUUUAGUAGUUCUUUUUGUUCAUAAAAAGUCAAACAUAUCAUUUCUUAUAUGUCAUCGACUACUUCUCACAUUAUUAUAAACUUGUGGCAUAAAAGAUUUGAUCAUGGUUGGUUCCUUAAACCGAUAAAUUUAUGGUGUUAGAGGUAGC